AUAACAGGCCAGAGCGUUCGCGACCAGUGCUGACUCUGUAGUCCAGUUCGAGGCGCCACUGCGGGCACAACACACCGGCGAAGCGUGGCGGUAUGUACCCACUCGCGUGCCACACCGAGUCGCUCUAGUACGGCGUGCGCGUUUCGGUUGGGAACUUCCGGAUCGUCCGCGGAGACGAGUGCAAGCAGUACGUUGACGGCACCGGUGCUAUCCCGGUGUCCACGCUUCAAAUGGGCGAGCUCUCGACCAAGCGGCACCGAACUCGACAGGUACCGCAGCAGUUGUUCCGCGUGACGCGGGAUCGCCUGGAUCACCCACACUUCGACGUGUCGCUCCGGUUCGAGACUCAUGCGCUUCUGGAGCUCCUCUUGAUCGACACAUGCGCAUAAGGUGUACUGUGGUGCUUUCAUACGCUCGAGCGGAGAACAGACGGGUGCUGCGAGGAGCCCCAAGCCGGAUCCGGAUCGUCAAAGUCAAACGAGAUGCGAUUUUGUGAAAGCUACGUCAGACUAGAAAGGAAAAGGGAGUUGCUCGCCCAGUUUCUGCCAUUGGGGUCUUCCGAGGCUGUUUUUCUGAUGUGCAGCCUGGAUAAUCAGAGUCCAGCAAUAAGGAUGUAUGGAUUCGUAAACAGUUUUACGAUUUGCGGUUGUCCUUACGGAAUGAACACCACAACGCUUCCCAGACGGAAGCGGGUCCGUCACCGGAAUCAACAUGAUUCGCGUUGCUAUCGAAUAAGGCUUCGCAGAGUAUUACACUUCAAUUUCCCUGUCAUUCGGAUGAGCAUCCACGCUUCUCCCUUCCCAGCGUCUAGCGGAUGCCUCAAUCGCGCAUUCUUCGCGUUCUCGAGCACUCUGUUUCGUAGCAGAGUCGGCGCUCAGCAACGGGCAACAUCGUCUACACAGACAAGGCUAACACGAUGACGUCGCUUGACGGCUCGCUCACGGGCUCGGGUCAGAAAAUCACUGACCUCUGGUCAUCAUACAAUCGAUUCCGUUCGAAAGCCAAAUCAGCCUCUAUUUGGAACCGCCAAAGACAUGGCAUUCGACGCGAGCACGAGACCCUUCAGGGCAUGUAUUCCCGAAAGCUCCAGUCUUUUCCGGUUGCACGGAAAAAUGUCCUGACCUCGGCCAGAGGUCAUCGCAGCGACCGUCUCCGGUGGAGCGCGUACCAGCGCUUUACACGGCGUCAGCGUUCACCGAUGGACAUCGCUCAGCUCGCUCGGCGCCCUGGAUGGAGCUCCCGGUGCUCUUCUCAUCGUGGACAAUAUCGCGUUCCACAAAUCCUCCAUGGAGUGCGCCACAGUGCGCCUGCGUGUGCAGCAGACAGCGCUCCCGCCUAGGGAGUCGCCCAGGCGAAGCAGGUGAUCGCGAGGCAUAGCGCCAGGUGCGGAAACGUACGAGAGCACCCACUGGCGCCUUCUGUACCCGUCAAGGCCAGGCACCGAGCGGUGAAGCAAGCGUCCACCCGCCACAGGUUAACGCUGCGAGGUGUAGUGGGUGUCUCGGAACACCUGACCACUGUCAAGGGUCAACGCGCGGAACGGCGUCCAGCGCCCGCGUCCAAACUAGACAGAGAGAACACCUGAAGCGUGGAUCGCAACUUCUGCCCAUGAACGAACAGCGUCUGCAACGGCCAGACGUGUCGACAUCGGGACGCUAACGCUGCCAUCAACGUCCGUCGCCCGUUGACAACGGAACUGGGUAGGCAGGAUUGACCGGCGUCAUUUUAAAGCCUGAGAUGAGAGAGCGGAAAUGGCCGCAAAGCCUGGUGCUGACGACAUUAGAAACAGAUCCAGUCGUUCAUGUGAACGCCCGAGAUGGGGGACGCGUUCCAUAUUAUUCUGGCAUUGGUCUUGACUAGGCAGGCGAACGUUCACACCGUGAAUGUAAUGCGGGUACGGUUCGAGUCCACCGACCAGAUAUUGAUGUCUUCGUAUUCACUCAGCGCGGUGUAGAACUGUUGGCUAGUGAAACCUUGCUGCAGGGCCUGCUCGAGGAUGUCCGCAAUGGGCACCGAGCGCUCGCCCCGGUCAGCAGCAUGGUCGCGGAUGAGUAGAUAGAUCCGCGUUGUCGCGUCCAGCUCGUGCAAGUUCCGAUGGCCACCUGCCUCGCUCGGAUCGUCCAGAGAGGCCUUGGAGCAGUUGAGCAGUCGCACAGCUUCAUCAAUAUCUUCGCGCGAAACAAGGUUGGAAAAGCGCAGCCGAGCGAGUGCCUGUGCAAGUCGUAGGAUGCUCAGCAACGUGCGAGCAGUCGUGUGGCCGCGAGGCAACCAGCGGCGCUGCUUAUCAUCAGCGCGUAGCGCUACGUAGUGUUCUACGACAUAGGCCGUCAACUCGGACGGUACUACGGGCACACACUGUCGAGCCUGCGCAACGUAGGCUCGCAGCAAGUCGGGUGACGCUGGUUCGAAUCCGAGUUCUGGGGCCUCGCCCGUCCGGUGCACGUACGUCACAUGUCGGGCAAGAGCCAGGUCCUUGUCCUGAUCGGGUGCAUCGAGCAUGAGGAACAACAGAUCAAAGCGCGACAGCAGUGCUGCUGGCAUGUUGAUAUUUUCGGCGGCUGAGCGUCGUCGAUUAUAACGGCCCUGAACUGGAUUCGCUGCUGCGAGAACGGCCGCCCGUGCAUUCAGCGAAGUCGUAAUACCAGCUUUGGCGAUCGAGACUGUCUGUUGCUCCAUGACCUCAUGGAUAUAGGUGCGAUCAAUCUCAUCCAUUUUGUCGAAUUCAUCGAUGCAUGCGAUGCCGCAGUCAGCCAUGACGAGGGCGCCGCCUUCUAACGUCACAUCACCGGUAUUGGAGUCACGGAGAACGGCUGCGGUGAGGCCCACACCACUCGAGCCCUUGCCCGUAGUGUAGACGCCUCGCGGUGCUACAUUGCAGAUGUAGCGAAGCAGCUGCGACUUGGCGACACCGGGAUCGCCCAUGAGGCAUACGUGUAUAUCACCGCGCAGGCGCAUCCCAUCAGCAAGUUCACGGGUCGGUGCGCCUACCAGUUGCAGAAGGAGCGCUUUUUUGACAUCCUCGUGCCCGUAGAUUUCUGGAGCAAUGGAGCGCGCGAGCCGAUCAUAAACUCCAGCGG
rnacentral:misc_RNA from 1 species